rfam:Streptomyces griseoruber strain DSM 40281 genomic scaffold PRJNA299232_s052, whole genome shotgun sequence.
CUUCAACGACCCCAGGAACAGCGGCAGUUCACCGGAACGCUCCUGACCGUAGGUCGCGAUCAGCGCCUGCGCCUC